rnacentral:rRNA from 1 species
UUAGUCCUAACUAUGCUCAUAAAUUGAGUAAUGGGAAAGGGAAACAGGUUAAUAUUCCUGUACUAUCUAAGUAUGUGCGGCAACGCAAGUUUAAUUUCUAUCUUUUUGGGGUAAGCUGACAAAUGAUCAAGUUUGCUAACUAAAACAGAUAAGGGGAGAUUGUAAUAAUGAGAACCUUAUCAAAUUUAGGAAUGGUGUUCUUAUGGGACAUUCAGCCGAUAUCUAGAAAUCUUAAAAAAGGAAUUAAAAUAAAUCUUAGAUAACUAUACCCAGAACCAGCACUGGUGCCCCUGGGUGAGAAGCCCAAGGUGUGAAGGUGUAAUCCGAUUGAGGGAACUCGGCAAAAUAGCCCCGUGACUUAGGUAUAAGGGGUCCCUGCGAUUGUAGCAAUGCAAUUGCAGGGUGCAAUUACAAAGGGGGUCCGACUGUUUAACAAAAACUUAACUGACUGCCAGCCUGUAAAGGUGUGUAUAGUCAGUGACACCUGCCCAGUGUCUGUAC